CAGCGUCAGCCCCGAGGCGGAGCUCCCCUCGGGUUGGUGCUGUCCUUUCCCCUGCGGCCUCUGCUCUGGCGGCAGUACGCGGGCCGAGCUCCAGGCACGUGCGGGAUGACUUGAAAGUAGGGCAUCCUUGGCCUUCCGGAAGAGAGUAAAUUCACGGCACGUGGAUAGUCUGUAUGGCGUUCUCAGAGAAAGAGAGUGCAAGCCGGGGAAGGACAGAUGAUCCA